GUGUAUACUAAUUCAAAAACCCACAUUAACCCCUUUAACCAUAUUGAGAACUUCUAUAACCCUAUAGAACCUUUUAUGCUAAAACUAGUAACAAGAGAAAACCCUCUCCCAAUGCAAACAUAAGCCAGCAAGAACCUAUCACUGGCAAUUAACAGCCUUAAAUAAAAGUAGCAACUUCACUAGAAAACCCUACUCCUCCGACUGUUAACCUAACACUAGAGCAUUUCAAGAAAGAUUAAAAGAAAAAGAAGGAACUCGGCAAACUCCAGUCCCGCCUGUUUACCAAAAACAUCGCCUCUUGCUUCCCAUAAGAGGUCUAACCUGCCCAGUGACCCUGUUCAACGGCCGCGGUAUCCUAACCGUGCGAAGGUAGCGUAAUCACUUGUUUUCCAAAUAAAGACCUGUAUGAAAGGUAUAACGAGGACUAAGCUGUCUCCUUUUUUUAAUCAGUGAACCUAAUCUCCCCGUGAAGAAGCGGGGAUCUUAAUAUAAGACGAGAAGACCCUAUGGAGCUUAAAACAUCAUAACACUUGCCACCCAUGUUUAAUUAUAGAAUUUCUAAUCGGCAUCCUGAUUUUAUGUUUUUGGUUGGGGUGACCGCGGAGAAAACCUCAUCCUCCGCAAUGAAAGAGGCUUCCUCCUCUAAACAAUAAGUUACAACUUUAUGUAUCAACUAAUUGACACUCAUUGACCCAAUAAAUUGAUUAAUGAACCAAGUUACCCUAGGGAUAACAGCGCAAUCCACUUUAAGAGCUCCUAUCGACAAGUGGGCUUACGACCUCGAUGUUGGAUCGGGAUAUCCUUGUGGUGCAGCCGCUACUAAUGGUUCGUUUGUUCAACGAUUAAAAUCCUA
rnacentral:rRNA from 1 species